rnacentral:rRNA from 1 species
GUGGGGAAUUUUGCGCAAUGGGGGAAACCCUGACGCAGCAACGCCGCGUGCGGGACGAAGGCCCUCGGGUUGUAAACCGCUUUCAGCAGGGGAGAAACUGACGGUACCUGCAGAAGAAGCUCCGGCUAACUACGUGCCAGCAGCCGCGGUAAUACGUAGGGAGCGAGCGUUAUCCGGAUUCAUUGGGCGUAAAGCGCGCGUAGGCGGCCGGCUAAGUCGGGAGUCAAAGCCCGGGGCUCAACCCCGGCCCGCUCCCGAAACUGGCCGGCUUGAGUCUGGCAGGGGAAGGCGGAAUUCCCAGUGUAGCGGUGAAAUGCGCAGAUAUUGGGAAGAACACCGGUGGCGAAGGCGGCCUUCUGGGCCACGACUGACGCUGAGGCGCGAAAGCUGGGGGAGCGAACAGGAUUAGAAACCCUGGUAGUCC